UACGUAGGGGGCAAGCGUUGUCCGGAAUCACUGGGCGUAAAGCGCGCGCAGGCGGCUAUCUACGUCCGGGGUGAAAGCCCAGAGCUCAACUCUGGGAUUGCCUUGGAUACGGGAUGGCUUGAGGAUCGGAGAGGCAAGGGGAAUUCCCGGUGUAGCGGUGGAAUGCGUAGAGAUCGGGAAGAACACCAGUGGCGAAGGCGGUCUGCUGGGCCGUUGCUGACGCUGAGGCGCGACAGCGUGGGGAGCAAACAGG
rnacentral:rRNA from 1 species